rnacentral:rRNA from 1 species
AGACCGAUGUGCAGGUGGCCGAGGAAAUAGGUAGGGAUCAAGUGUGGUGACGGUUGACUGGGCGUAAAGGGCGCGUAAGCGGCAUGACAAGUCACUUGUGAAAUCUCUGGGCUUAACCCAGAACGGCCAAGUGAUACUGUCGCGCUAGAGUGCGGAAGGGGCAAUCGGAAUUCUCGGUGUAGCGGUGAAAUGCGUAGAUAUCGAGAGGAACACCUGAGGUGAAGACGGGUUGCUGGGCCGACACUGACGCUGAGUGCGCGAAAGCCAGGGGAGCAAACGGGAUUAGAUACCCGAGUAGUC